rnacentral:rRNA from 1 species
AUUGAACGCUGGCGGCAUGCCUAACACAUGCAAGUCGAACGAAUGGCGGACGGGUGAGAAAUGUCUGUGAAACUGCCCGAUGGAGGGGGAUAACUACUGGAAACGGUUGCUAAUACCGCAUACCAUCGGAUGUGCCCAGAUGGGAUUAGCUUGUUGGUGGGGCACCGGCUCACCAAGGCGACGAUCCCUAGCUGGUCGGAGAGGAUGACCAGCCACACUGGAACUGAGACACGGCCCAGACUCCUACGGGAGGCAGCAGUGGGGAAUAUUGGACAAUGGGCGAAAGCCUGAUGCAGCCAUGCCGCGUGUAUGAAGAAGGCCUUCGGGUUGUAAAGUACUUUCAGCGGGGAAGCGGUACCCGCAGAAGAAGCACCGGCUAACUCCGUGCCAGCAGCCGCGGUAAUAC